UAAAUGGCUGACUUUGACAUGUGUUGGUUAAAAGUUUUUUUCAGUGUCAUACCUUGUCCUCCACGCCCUUAGCCUGUAAAGGUGAUUUGCAGAAUGACCUUUCCAUUGUGCUUUCCUUCCACAGAUAAGCUCUUCUUAACCAAACUGAACUAUCUGAACCACUCAUGUUUCUGUCUGUAUUCUGUUGCUCAUGACCAUUUUGGAUCUGCUCUGAUACUGUUCUACGGUUUUCAUGUUUGGCCAUUUUGCAGUUUCUGUGCAGUUGGUUCGGUUCAGUAGUGUGACAGAAGCGUAGUCUUAUUCAGUUUAACCUUUUGGCCCAAAGGUGUGAGAUUAGUUUGACGUAUAAGGAACAAGAGCUUUUGGAGAAUUUGCUGAAAGAAAAAACAGUUUGGCAACCAUCUAAAAGCUUUAAUAAUGUUUUUGAUUGGUGACAGUUUUUAGAAGCUCUGUAUUUGUUUGCUGUGCUAUGUGACUUAAUUGGGUAGUCCAAAUCAGCCCUGAACUGAGGCCCGUUUAGCCCAAGUCUUGCAAUUCCAGUAGCCCUGAGCUGUCGGAUGGUGUGCAUUUGCAGCUGAUACCAAGGUGUGUCUUUACCUUGGCCCACGCCAGUCACUCCAAAUCAGAGCCUAGUUUUCUUUACAAAAACACAGGAUUAGGAUCAAGGUUAGAACUAAAUGAAUCUUCAUGGUCAGAAUCUCAACAAAUCAUAUGAUUUGAGUCUUCUGAAGGUGUGAAUCCUUAGACUAGGGCUAAAAGCUCUGCAGUGACAGUUUGACCACAGGUUAUGAUGGUUGUUAUGUGGCCUUCCUUCCAGGCUGUAAGGAACCAUGGACACAGAGAUAGCAGUGCCAAGAUACUGAUACUAAAAGAAGGAGGACGGAUGGAAGAUGGAUGUUCGACUGUUCCCGUAGCGACAGUAUUGUUUUUUGUUUGCACAUAGCUUUGCUUUGUUUGUUUGUUUUGGCAGAAGAAUUGAGAGAACAGUUUUAAGGUGGUUUUAACCACAUUACUGUUUUAAGACCAAGAAAACAGAUGAGGCACUGUACAGCUGAUGAAAAAUAAAAUCCUCCUAACGGGUCCA